rnacentral:tRNA from 1 species
GGAGAAGUGUCCGAGUGGCUUAAGGAGCACGCCUGGAAAGCGUGUAAAGGUUAAUAGCCUUUCGAGGGUUCGAAUCCCUCUUUCUCCGCCA